GGAUGACAAGCAGGCAGCUGCCGCUGUCAGUGUGGGACAUGAAAACAAAAAUGGCAGCAGGUGGAGCAAGCCGACCGCGAUUAUUUUUUUUCUUACUUCGACGACCUAUUUGAUGAUGAAGAUCUGCAAUGAAGUGAGGGUAAUCCUCUGGAUUAGCGCUGUGCAUCUUUCUGCAAGUGGAAUUUGAAUAAAAUAUUUUUCCACCCUU